rnacentral:lncRNA from 1 species
AUGCCCCACUUUUACUUCUUCCUUCUCUUUGCUUGGGAUUGCUUCCCCCAGUCUUUGGCUUUGAUGAUCCCCACUUCAUUCCCAGAUGACUCCUUUGGAUUGGCUCUUCUGGCAGGAUCUCUUUCCCACAGAGCCUUGGGGCACCAUCCUGCUGCUCUGUGGGCCUCUGGGAAUCCUGAAUCUCUGACUAAGGCAAAGGAGCAGAGGAGAGCCCUGAGAAGGAGCAGGAAGAGGGAACGGAAAGAAAAGGCAGAUGGGGAAGCAUUUGAAGAAAUGAGGGAAGGAGAAAAGAUUCUGGCCAUUGGCAUGGGGCAUAAGACACCUGAAAAGCUGGAAAUGUACCCCACAGUCAUCACAUUCUCCCACACCCAGGGGAAGAAUCCAACCCCUAAGAUGACAGCAGUAUGGAGGCUCUUAAGGAUCUGCAAGCUCCACAUGGUACUCUCCGUUCUGCAAUGGCACCAGUGGAAAAGUGAGAGGGGUUAUGGGCUCCUAAUAGAGGGCAGUAAGCUUCAUGGGGCCUCAGAAACUGCGCUGUCUCCCCAUCAAGAGCCUUUGAGCAGAGGAGUGGACCCCAGACCGGUAGCCUGGCAGCUGUAUCCAUGGGAAUUGCCCACCGACAGGGAAUAG